rnacentral:rRNA from 1 species
AAUGGAGAGUUUGAUCCUGGCUCAGGAUUAACGCUGGCGGUGUGUCUAAUACAUGCAAGUCGAACGGGAAUCUUCGGAUUCUAGUGGCGGACGAGCGAGUAACACGUUGGAACCUGCCCCGAACUCAGGGAUAAGCACUGGAAACGGUGUCUAAUACCGGAUAGUCCCGCAAGGGUAAAGAUUUUUCGGUUCGGGAGGGGCCUGCGUCCUAUCAGCUUGUUGGUAAGGUAAUGGCUUACCAAGGCUAUGACGGGUAACUGGUCUGAGAGGAUGAUCAGUCGCGAUGGAACUGAGACACGGUCCAUACUCCUACGGGAGGCAGCAGUAGGGAAUAUUUCACAAUGGGCGAAAGCCUGAUGAAGCAAUACCGCGUGGUCGAUGAAGCUCUUCGGAGUGUAAAGGCCUUUUCUGAGGGAAGAAUUCUGACGGUACCUUAGGAAUAAGCA